rnacentral:tRNA from 2 species
AGAUCAUAUGGUAGUACA